UGCAAGUCCGAACGGCAGCACAGGAGAAGCUUGCUCUCUGGGUGGCGAGUGGCGGACGGGUGAGGAAUGCAUCGGAAUCUACUCUAUCGUGGGGGAUAACGUAGGGAAACUUACGCUAAUACCGCAUACGACCUACGGGUGAAAGCAGGGGACCUUCGGGCCUUGCGCGAUUGAAUGAGCCGAUGUCGGAUUAGCUAGUUGGCGGGGUAAAGGCCCACCAAGGCGACGAUCCGUAGCUGGUCUGAGAGGAUGAUCAGCCUCACUGGAACUGAGACACGGUCCAGACUCCUACGGGAGGCAGCAGUGGGGAAUAUUGGACAAUGGGCGCAAGCCUGAUCCAGCCAUACCGCGUGGGUGAAGAAGGCCUUCGGGUUGUAAAGCCCUUUUGUUGGGAAAGAAAAGCAGUCGGCUAAUACCCGAUUGUUCUGACGGUACCCAAAGAAUAAGCACCGGCUAACUUCGUGCCAGCAGCCGCGGUAAUACGAAGGGUGCAAGCGUUACUCGGAAUUACUGGGCGUAAAGCGUGCGUAGGUGGUUUGUUAAGUCUGCUGUGAAAGCCCUGGGCUCAACCUGGGAAUUGCAGUGGAUACUGGCUAACUAGAAUGUGGCAGAGGGUAGCGGAAUUCCUGGUGUAGCAGUGAAAUGCGUAGAGAUCAGGAGGAACAUCCGUGGCGAAGGCGGCUACCUGGGCCAACAUUGACACUGAGGCACGAAAGCGUGGGGAGCAAACAGGAUUAGAUACCCUGGUAGUCCACGCCCUAAACGAUGCGAACUGGAUGUUGGGUGCAAUUUGGCACGCAGUAUCGAAGCUAACGCGUUAAGUUCGCCGCCUGGGGAGUAC
rnacentral:rRNA from 1 species